UACGUAGGGUGCGAGCGUUGUCCGGAAUUAUUGGGCGUAAAGAGCUUGUAGGCGGUUUGUCGCGUCUGCUGUGAAAAUCCGGGCUCAACCCGGACUUGCAGUGGGUACGGGCAGACUAGAGUGUGGUAGGGGAGACGUGGAAUUCCUGUGUAGCGGUGAAAAUGCGCAGAUAUCAGGAGGGAACACCGAUGGCGAAGGCAGGUCUCUGGGCCACUACUGACGCUGAGAAGCGAAAGCAUGGGGGAGCGAAACAGG
rnacentral:rRNA from 1 species